UACGGAGGAUCCAAGCGUUAUCCGGAUUUAUUGGGUUUAAAGCGUGCGCAGGCGGUUCUCCAAGUCCGUUGUGAAAGCCCCGGGCUCAACCUGGGAAUGGCAGUGGAAACUAGGGGACUGGAAUCUGGCAGAGGGGGGUGGAAUGCCGCGUGUAGCAGUGAAAUGCGUAGAGAUGCGGCGGAACACCGAUGGCGAAGGCAGCCCCCUGGGCUGAGAUUGACGCUCAGGCACGAAAGCGUGGGGAGCAAACAGG
rnacentral:rRNA from 1 species